GGAAAGAGCCGUUAGAGAGAGAGUACCCAGAUAAACCAUGAUGCAUAUGAUAUCAGUAAUGAUGAUUUCCUAUCAUGGUCUAAAUAGGAAGGAUACUGAUUAGCUUCCUAGAAAUGUUCUGGAUCUCCAUUUUCCUGUAUGUUGAGCCACUUUGCCAGACGUUACCUCUUCUUUUUUAUCUUCCUUAAUUUCCAUUGCUUUGAACCACUACAUCUCAGCUAUUUAGGUUACAGUCCCAUGUUAACAGAUAUUUUUACCAUAAGUCUUCUUGCCUUGCUUCAUCUCAGUUUUACCAAUCUUGUUUGUCUAUUUCUUACAUGAUUUAAAAAAAAAGAAAAAGAAAUGUCAAAAUAUUGUGCCUGUAUAUGAUGUUAAGCAUUUUAAUGUAUAAUAGCCUAAUUUACUUAUUAUUAUGACAUGGGCUACCAGGCUAGGAGUACCAAUCGAUAAAUUGUUAUUUAUCAUACUCCCUAUGUUUCAUUUUACGUGACACUUUCAUUUUAGUCUUUUCAAAAAAGAAUGAUACCUUUCUCUGUUUUGAAACUAUUAAAAGUUAGCAUUCUAAUUUUACCCUUAAUGACAUGACUUGUUUGGACUUACUUAUAUAGAAGAUCAUUCUGUCGAUAGGAUAGAGAAAAUGAAAGGACAUGGAAUUCUCACGAAUCAAUUAAUUACUGAUAGCAAGGACAAUUUUUGAUACUUUGCGUAUAUUUAGCUUGUGUCAGAAGUCCCUUUAUUUCUUAAAACUUUGUAUCCAGUGAAACACCUUCACGUAAAUGGGAUGGAGAGAGUACUUUGUUUUAGG
rnacentral:lncRNA from 1 species